UUAUAAUAAUUAUUAUCAAAAAAAAAAAUAACCGAUUGAGCAUUAGAAUCAAAGUUUUGCCUAUGAAAAAGUAUCAAUGGUUAUGUUAUACAUGUAUGCAAAGUUAUCGUUUAUGGAUACAUGAUAUUUCCAAUUUAAUAUUGCAUUAUUUUGGAUCGAAUAAAGGUCUUAGUAUGCUGGUUUCUUCCGCAUUAUAAAUCCGUGGCAUUAUUAAUGCUAAAUGCUUUAUUACACAAACGGUAUCUAGGCAUAUCACGCGUUUUCAAAACAGCCAAUGAGUUUAAAGCGUUGGUUUUGUAUCACGUGAAUCCUAUCAACCAAUCAGAAAUAGCGCGGGCGAAAUGAAAAAAGAAAAAACGGGAUUGGAAAUGGAUAGUUAAUAAAAUUCAGAAUAUUGCAAAACAAGGACAGUGUACAGCGUGUUUAAAUCUUCUAGAAAUGCAGCUGUGCCCUCUUUACAGCAAUUAUAGAUGAAGCAAAGUAUGGUAGCAAGUAAUAUAGAUAUACACACAUGCCGAAGAAGAUUGUAAUAUCUGGAGAUAACAUUUCCUACGUCACGAAAUAGACACCGUCACACUGGUCUACGUAACAUUCCUAUAGAUGAUUGAUAUAUUUAAGUGCUUUUAAGAACUGUGUUUGUAUGACGAAUUUCUGUGAAUACGGAUUUUUAGUUUUAAUGAUUAUUAUUAAAACUUUCUGUAAUAAUCAAUUUGUGCUAUGGACUCAUUUUCCUAAAAUAAUAUGUGAAUGUUAACACAAAUGAUAUGAAUAUCUUUAAAAUGUUUUAUGGGUGUAAUACAAGUGGCUCAUAAAAAUCAUUGUUAAGAUAAAUAGAAUCGAAC